rnacentral:rRNA from 1 species
UAGGGAAUCUUCGGCAAUGGACGAAAGUCUGACCGAGCAACGCCGCGUGUGUGAAGAAGGUUUUCGGAUCGUAAAACUCUGUUGUUAGAGAAGAACAAGGACGUUAGUAACUGAACGUCCCCUGACGGUAUCUAACCAGAAAGCCACGGCUAACUACGUGCCAGCAGCCGCGGUAAUACGUAGGUGGCAAGCGUUGUCCGGAUUUAUUGGGCGUAAAGCGAGCGCAGGCGGUUUCUUAAGUCUGAUGUGAAAGCCCCCGGCUCAACCGGGGAGGGUCAUUGGAAACUGGGAGACUUGAGUGCAGAAGAGGAGAGUGGAAUUCCAUGUGUAGCGGUGAAAUGCGUAGAUAUAUGGAGGAACACCAGUGGCGAAGGCGGCUCUCUGGUCUGUAACUGACGCUGAGGCUCGAAAGCGUGGGGAGCAAACAGG